AGUGAACGCUGGCGGUAGGCCUAACACAUGCAAGUCGAACGGCAGCACAGUAAGAGCUUGCUCUUACGGGUGGCGAGUGGCGGACGGGUGAGGAAUACAUCGGAAUCUACUUUUUCGUGGGGGAUAACGUAGGGAAACUUACGCUAAUACCGCAUACGACCUACGGGUGAAAGCAGGGGAUCUUCGGACCUUGCGCGAUUGAAUGAGCCGAUGUCGGAUUAGCUAGUUGGCGGGGUAAAGGCCCACCAAGGCGACGAUCCGUAGCUGGUCUGAGAGGAUGAGCAGCGAAAAGGGAACUGAGACACGGUCCAGACUCCUACGGGAGGCAGAAGUGGGGAAGAUUGGACAAUGGGCGAAAGCCUGAUAGAGCAAUAUAGAGUGAGUGAAGAAGGCCUUCGGGUGGUAAAGCCCUGUUGUGGGGAAAGAAAAGAAGCAGGUUAAUACCCCGCUGUUCUGACGGUACCUAAUGAAGAAGCAACGGCUAACUUCGUG
rnacentral:rRNA from 1 species